GGAAGGGGGGGCUGCUACACAUGCAGUCUAACUGUGAAGCAGUGACGUACGGGUGAGUAACAUGUAAGUUAUCUGCCUUUGGGUGAGGGAUAACAAAUGGAAACGUUUGCUAAUACCUCGUAAACUCGUUAGAGUGAAAGAAUUUUGCCCGAAGAUGAGCUUGCACCCGAUUAGUUAGUUGGUGAGGUAAAGGCUUACCAAGACGAUGAUCGGUAGCUGGUAUGCGAAUGCGAACAGCCACACUGGGACUGAGACACGGAACAGACUCCUACGGGAGGCAGCAGUGGGGAAUAUUUGGCAAUGGGUGAAAGCCUGACCAAGCAAUGCCGCGUGGAGGAAGAAGGCCCUUGGGUUGUAAACUCCUUUUCUCAAUGAAGAAGUUCUGACGGUAUUUGAGGAAUAAGCAUCGGCUAAUUCUGUGCCAGCAGCCGCGGUAAUACAGGAGAUGCAAGCGUUAUCCGGAAUUAUUGGGCGUAAAGCAUCUGUAGAUGGUUUAAAAAGUUUGGUGUUAAAUAUCAGAGCUCAACUUUGAAAUGGCAUCGAAAACUCUUAAACUUGAGUGCAAUAGGGGCAAGGGGAAUUUUCAGUGUAGCGGUGAAAUGCGUAGAGAUUGAAAAGAACACCAAUGGCGAAAGCACCUUGCUAGGUUGAUACUGACAUUGAGAGAUGAAAGCUAGGGGAGCAAAAAGGAUUAGAUACCCUUGUAGUCCUAGCAGUAAACGAUGGAUACUAAGUGGUGUGUUUUGCACUGCUGUAGCUAACGCGUUAAGUAUCCCGCCUGGGGAGUACGCUUGCAAAAGUGAAACUCAAAGGAAUUGACGG
rnacentral:rRNA from 1 species